UGUAGGUGGUUCGUUAAGUCGCUGGUGAAAGCCCCUGGCUCAACUGGGGGAGGUCUGGCGAAACUGGCGGACUUGAGGGUCCGAGAGGAAGGUGGAAUUCCCGGGUGUAGCGGUGGAAUGCGUAGAGAUCGGGAGGAACACCAGUGGCGAAGGCGGCCUUCUGGCGGGCAUCUGACACUGAGACGCGAAAGCGUGGGGAGCAAACGGGAUUAGGAUACCCCGGUAGUCCGACGCCCUAAACGAUGCAGGCUAGGUGUUGGUAGGAUUUCCCAUCCGUGCCGUAGCGAACGCGUUAAGCCUGCCGCCUGGGGACUACGAGCGCAAGCUUAAA
rnacentral:rRNA from 1 species